rnacentral:rRNA from 1 species
AGUUCGGAUUAUGGCUCAGAUUGAACGCUGGCGGGAUGCUUUACAUGACAAGUCGAACGGCAGCACGGACUUCGGUCUGGUGGCGAGUGGCGAACGGGCAGUAUCACCGGAACGUACUAGUAGCGGGGGAUAACUACGCGAAAGCGGGGCCAUACUGCAUACGCCCUUCGGGCAGCGGGGACCUUCGGGCCUCGCACUAUUAGAGCGGCCGAUAUCAGAUUAGCUAUUGGUGGGUAACGGCUCACCAAGGCGACGAUCCGUAGCUGGUUUGAGAGGACGACCAGCCACACUGCUGGGACUGAGACACGGCCCAGACUCCUCACGGGAGGCAGCAGUGGGGAAUUUUGGACAAUGGGGGAAACCUGAUCCAGCCAUCCUGCGUGUGCGAUGAAGGCCUUCGGUUGUAAAGCACUUUUGGCAGGAAAGAAACGGCACGGGAUAAUACCCCGUGCAACUGACGGUACCUGCAGAAUAAGCACCGGCUAACCCGGCCGCCGUGCGCCAGCAGCCGCGGUAAUACGUAGGGUGCAAGCGGGCAAUCGGAAUACUACUGGGCGUAAAAGGCGCAGGCGGUUCGGAAGCAAAGAUGUGAAAUCCCAGAGCUUAACUUUGGAACUGCAUUUUUAACUACCGAGCUGAGAGUGUGUCAGGGAGGGAGGUGGAAUUCCGCGUGUAGCAGUGAAAUGCAGAUAUGCGGAGGAACACCGAUGGCGAAGGCAGCCUCCUGGGAUAACACUGACGCUCAUGCACGAAAGCGUGGGAUAAACAGGAUUAGAUACUCCUUGGUGUCCACGCCCGAACGAUGUCAAUCAGCUGUUGGGGCCUUCUGGCCUUGGUAGCAGCUAUCAUAAAGCUUGACCGCCUGGGGAGUACGGUCGCAAGAUUAAAAACUCGUAUGAAUUGACGGGGACCCCGCACAAGCGGUGGAUGAUGGAUUACCCGAUGCAACGCGAAAACCUUACCUACCCUUGAUAUGUCUGAAUCCCGAAGAGAUUUGUGAGUGCUCGCGCGGAGAACCGGAACACAGGUGCUGUAUGGCUGUCGCCGCUCGUGCCGUGGAGAUGUUUAGUUAAGUCCCGCAACGAGCGCAACCCUUGUCAUUAGUUGCUACGAAAGGACACUCUAAUGACUGCCGGUGACAAAACCGGAGGAAGGUGGGGAUGAUGUCAAGUCCUCAUGGCCCUUAUGGGUAGGGCUUCAAUACGUCAUACAAUGGUUGGGACAGAGGGUGGUCGCCAACUCGCGAGGGGAGCCAAUCCCAGAAACCCGAUCGUAGUCCGGAUCGCAGUCUGCAACCUGACUGCGUGGAAGUCGGAAUCGCUAAUCGCGGAUCAGCAUGUCGCGGUGAAUACGUUCCCGGUCUUGCGCACACCGCCCGUCACACCAUGGGAGUGGGUUUUACCAGAAGUAGUUAGCCUAACCGUAAGGAGGGCGAUUACCACGGUAGGAUUCAUGACUGGGGUGAAGUCGUAAUGGCGUAG